rnacentral:ncRNA from 12 species
GUUAUUUGAGGUGGACAAUUUCGUGGCAUCCACACGCCGACGGUAUGACAGAAGGAAACUUCGAGAGAUGCAGGAGUAAGCCACGCCUGCCAAAUAAC